rnacentral:lncRNA from 1 species
UAAAUUAAAUUUUAUUAAAAAGAGAAAGUGAAAAAACGAACCAAGAACCCUUGAGUGCACAAACAACAAACUAAGGGCCGAGCCUCAUUAAAACCCUUUUAAGGCAAACCUGGUCGGAAAAUCCUUAAAAGGGAAAAAGAGUACUCGUCUAAAAAGGAGCUGUGUGGGAACGGAAGUGAGACAACUUCAGAGAUUCCGGCCGAACCAUCACCCCUAAGCAGCUCGGUUCCCGAACACAUCAAAGCAAACCAACAAAAGAGAACAAGCAAAGAAGAAGCAAAAACACGACCAACCAAAAA